GUGAGGAAUUUUCCGCAAUGGGCGAAAGCCUGACGGAGCAAUGCCGCGUGAAGGAUGAAGGCCUAUGGGUUGUAAACUUCUUUUCUCAGAAAAGAAUUAUGACGGUAUCUGAGGAAUAAGCAUCGGCUAACUCUGUGCCAGCAGCCGCGGUAAGACAGAGGAUGCAAGCGUUAUCCGGAAUGAUUGGGCGUAAAGCGUCUGUAGGUUGUUUAAAAAGUAUUCUGUCAAAGAUUAGGGCUUAACCCUAGAUAGGCAGAAUAAACUUUUAAGCUAGAGUUUGGUAGAGGCAGAGGGAAUUCCCGGUGGAGCGGUGAAAUGCGUAGAUAUCGGGAGGAACACCAAAGGCGAAGGCACUCUGUUGGGCCAAUACUAACACUGAGAGACGAAAGCGAGGGGAGCAAAUGGGAUUAGAUACCCCGGUAGUCC
rnacentral:rRNA from 1 species